rnacentral:lncRNA from 1 species
CGGUAAGUAGAUCCACACCUGUAUGAGAAAAUUAAGACAAAAUAAAGUUAAAGACCUAGAACGCUAGGUGAGAUAAUAACCCUUCCUGUGGGACACAUGCAAGACAUGAUUGAAGCUAUUUUUGCAAAAUGACUUAUUUGGCCAAAAGGUGGCUAGAAGUGCAAAAUUUGGCUAAGACUCCGCAAAGCCAAGAACCUAAGAUUCACUAGGAAGACCGUACCCUAUGUGGGUUGCUUGCGUAUCACGCCCCGAAAGACGAGAAUCAGGUAUGCAUAGUUCAGGCAUUGGAUACGGGGCGAGAAUUAAAAAACAACUAAUUUAGAGAAAAAAUAUAUUUCUGUCUUUUUUUUUUGAAAAAUGAUGAAACAUGUAAGCUCUUUUUGGAUUUUUUUUCUUUUUCUUUUUUUUUAUUUUUAUUUUUGAAAAAUGAGGGGAACGUGCAAAAUCUUUUUUUUUUUUGGAUUUUUCAUGUUUUUUCUUAACAAAAAUGUGACAGAAAACAUAAUCGGACCCUACUUGCUUUUUUUUUCUUUUUUUAUUUGCUCUCAACUAUCAUUGGUCUGCCAAAUGACCCUUUCACUCUUGAAGAAAUGCAACAUGUAGCACAUAGGAUGCACCAAGGUGGUCUGUUAUUUUGGGUACACCUGUCUUAGACAGACCAAACCCCUGUGUUGAGUGCCCUAAGUCAAAUGCACAUGAUGCAAACAAACGUUCCUACUAUGGAUCUGGAAUGAGGCUAUGUUUUUCUAGGUUUAAAACCUAGGGUUGUGUUCUAGACCUGGCUUAUCCGAGCGGACAACUCGAGCUGAAGAGGGGGCAUCGUACCGGGAGCACUGAAGUCUACCCUACAUUGUUGCUAGCCCAACCUCGUUCUAUUUGGUAUGACUUCUACAGAAAAAGCAGGCCACGCGAACGUGUGCACCAUUUCCAGAAGACUUAGGGGGUGGGGGUAAGAAGACAGUUAUAUACAAUUCAAAUAAUAUCAAAGCGGUAAAUAGAUAACAAUUAGCACAAAAGGUUCACAAAAUACAGUAAUAUCAACAAUAAAUAAAACCAAAUAAAAAUCAUAUUAACAAGUUCAAAUUCUUUAACCCUGAACCAGAGAUUCUGGGUUCUUAUCACCAACAGAGUCACCAGAGGUGUAACACCUCCUUUUUACUACCCCGGAAGGGGUAUUAAGGGAGCUUUUUCCAAUUAAAGUGACAAUCAAAACAUGAUUAUUUAUUUAAAAAUUAGAGUCGCCACUUGGGAUAAUUUAUGGUGUCCCAAGUCACCUGUUUAAAAUCCUGAAUCGAGGAAGUUUGACUCUAUUUACGGUUUGCGAACACAGAAAUCUAUGUAAGGAAAUCUGUUAACUUGGGAGAAGGUGUUAGGCAUUCCCGAGUUCUGUGGUUCUAGCAUGGUCGCUUUGAUCAUACUUGGCUUAAUCAAAUUGUCUUAUUACUCAUUUUAGAAUCUAUGUGUAUUUGCCUUUUUUAAUUAAGAAAUUAUCUUGAAACGGGUCACGCGUACGUGUACCCAUUUGUUUGGCACGUUACAAAUUAUGUCACGCGAAUGUGGCGACAAUUAACAACUCUUUAUUAUUAUUAAGAAAGUUUGGCUGAAGUUGCGCGAACACAUACUCCAAUUUUGUUUUUAGAAAUCUUAAUCAUGUCACGCGAACGUGUCCACAAUCAUAAUGAUAUAUUAAACGGGCCUAAAGCAACAACGAGCAUUUGCCAUUUUUAUAUCUAAGUCAUAAGAUUAAUACGAGGGCCAUGAAUCAUUAAAUUGUGGAUGGCACACCUCGGACUAUUAAAUCAAAAUUAGUUUAGAGGCUUAUUAAAACCAAUUUUAUUAUUAAGAAAGUUUGAUCAAAGUUGCGCGAACACAUACUCUGAAUUGGUUUUUGGAAUUGUAAUUAUGUCACGCGAACGUGUACACAAUCACGAUGAUAUAUUAAACGCGCCUAAAGCAAGCUACGAUAUUCAUUUUUUAAAAAUGUACUCGUGUCACGCGAACGUGUACACAAUUAAUAACAAUUAUUAUUAUAAACAUUGUCUCGCCCAAAGUUGCGCUUAUGACAAAUUAAAAGGAGUAAUUAUUUCCUGCAAGAUUAAAGCAAGCCCAAAAGCAACGUAUACCAAACCAACAAAAAUAAAUGCACGAAAUUGGCCUCCUAAAAUCACAUCAUUGCAACCAACAAAAGUAUACCAAACCCCAAUAUUGAAUAGUCAUAAAAGAUAGGCAGACUCAUUGAUUAGAUCAGUUAAAAACCUUUCACCUCUUUGUAUUGUCUAUUAGGCAGAAAUUACAUUAAUAGUAGUACUCCACAUUAAAUCCUAAAGUUUAAUUUUGAACUCACUUUUCUCUCUUCUUCUCACCUCAACAAUGGGUUAUCGACAGAAGAGUCAAACACAAAGGAACAAGAAUAAUAUAGCAAAUUAACUUUAAACAUUCAAGACAUAGAACAUCACAAAGAGGCAUAAAUCAGAAAACAAAUCAAACCUUAAUUUUAUUCCCAAAGUAUAGAGUGAGAUAGAAAUGAUAAUGGAGAUUAAUAUUGAAUUUGAAACUCAAACGCUUGGAUUGCUUUGAGACUCACAAGCAACAAGAUCGCGAACAAAACCUCGACGGAAAACCUCGCCAGAAACCUCGGACUAAAGCCUGUGUUCUAAUGGUGUUUUGAGAUGAUUUUGAGCAACAAUUGCUACCUAUGAAGAUCAGUACCGCAUGGGAGAAGUGCACAAGGACAUUGGAGUGGCCCUCUGUUUUUGUCCCUUUUUCCAGAUCUCUCGUUCUCUCUAUGUUAACUGCCGGAUUUUUUUGAAUUGGAGGAAGGUGAUCGCUCGCGUGAACUUGGGGGGGGGGGGGCUUCUUUUUGUUCCGUUUUUUCCUAAUUUGGGAACCAAAGAAGAUCGAAAAAUGAUGGUCCCUCUUUUUUUGUUUUUCUAUCUAUCUUUCAUGUGUGUUGCGGCUGAUUUCAGGUCCCAGGGGUUCCUUUUGCUUGUAUUCUUUUUCUUGAUUCACCAGAUGAAGAAGAUCGUUUGGGAUGGGGUCUUCAUUUUCUGGAAACGGGCGGAUGAUGCUUAGAAGGUCUAGGGUUUGAUUUUUUUAGGUCUUAGAGUCUAGGGUCUUGUAUGUUUUAUAGGAUUUUUUAGGUUGGAGGUAUGGACCUAGGAAUUAUGGGUUUGGUCCGAAAAUUAGGCUUAAAAAUGGGUUGUUUGAACCCAAAUUUUA